GGGGUGCAGGGGGGUAGGAGGAUCAGGACUCUCUCAACUCCUUGCAGAUAUCUGCAAGGAGUUGAGAGAGUCCCAUUGAACCUGAUCCGGCCAAUACCGGCGAAGGGAAGCAGCUAUCU
rnacentral:ncRNA from 1 species